rnacentral:misc_RNA from 1 species
UGUUUGUAAAACUUAGAACUUCAUCAAGAUGCCAUCACUUCUAUCUUGGUUCAUUUGCAGGUGUGCUAUGUGUCGUGAUGGGCAGCCUGCCUCUCUUCCUCACCUGAUUUGAGAUGUUCACACUGAGAUUCUAAGUUUGAUUUUUCAUGAAGAUUGCCAUUUAUAAUGUUAAAGAUUGUGUUUUUAUAUUAUACUAUCCUAACAUUGUCAAGAUGUAGGUCAUUGCUCUGACGGAG